rnacentral:lncRNA from 1 species
ACUGGGAUCAGAUGUUUAAAAUAGUUUCAGUCUUUAUUUGUGUUUUGGUUUCCGCAAGAUAUGACGACGGAGAUUCAGAAUUUCUUCUCACAUUUUUGGACAAGACCAACAUUAAAAGCCGGUAAAAAUGCCUCUUUUGGUCGCUUUUCCACAUAUCAGUAAAUCUAUUGCUUUUUAAGUUUUUGAUUUUAAUAGAUCCAUGGGCAUGAUGAGUUGAAAGCGAUACAUGUAGGACCAUAGCUACGCUACCAAGGGGUCACACGAAAAUAAUGAGAAGUC